CGGCCGUCCAAGUACUUAGUGCUAAUGGCACAUCUGCGGUCUUCCCUUGAAUGCUAGUCCUUCAUGCAAGAAAGGUGGUAACCUGGCACUGAGACAUUCAAUACAGAAAAACAGGAUCCUAAUCAUCUCCUUUCUCUGAAACCUAUGGCUGCACAAGAGCCCUCCUAGAACAGUCGUYAUCUUCGGUGGACCCAGGGGGAGAGCUGACGUCAGGGGG